rnacentral:rRNA from 1 species
AGAGCGACGGGCGAUGUGUGCAUAUUUUAGUGCCUAAUCAUUAAAAAAAAGUUUAAUUAAUUACUUUCAAAUCCAAUUUCAUAAAAUUUUCCAAAUAAUAAAAUCCAUAAAUAAAAUUUACUGUAACCCAUUACAUCCUAAAUAUAAACUUCACCUUGAUCUGAUUUAUUUUUUUAAAAAAAUCUUAAAUAUUAAAUUCUUGUAAAAUAUUUAAUAACGAUGAUAUAAAAAUUUCUAACCUAGGUUAAUUCAAUCGUGGAUUAUCAAUUAAUGAACAGGUUCCUCUGAAAAGAUUAAAAUACCGCCAAAUUAUUUAGCUUUAAAGAACUUAACUAUUAAUCACUUAGUUUUUUAAUUUACAUUUAAAAUAAUAGGGUAUCUAAUCCUAGUU